UGCCAGCAGCCGCGGUAAUACAGAGGCCCCAAGCAUUAUCCGGAUUCACUGGGCGUAAAGGGUGCGUAGGCGGUGUUAUUAGUCGGGUGUUAAAUCCUUGGGCUCAACCCAAGAAUCGCAUUCGAAACGGUAACACUAGAAGUAGUCAGAGGCUAACAGAGCUCUCGGUGUAGCGGUGAAAUGCGUAGAUAUCGGGAAGAACACCAGUGGCGAAGGCGCUCUGCUGGGCCAUCACUGACGCUCAUGGACGAAAGCCAGGGGAGCGAAAGGGAUUAGAUA
rnacentral:rRNA from 1 species